rnacentral:misc_RNA from 1 species
AAGUCGUAACAAGGUUUCCGUAGGGUGAGUUCUAAAACCUUAUCAAUUGUUACUAUACCGAUUUUCAGACGCUAACGUAUAUUCUAGUGAACCUGCGGAAGGAUCAUUACUGAGAUGGGGUCCUUUAGGGCCCGACCUCCAACCCUUUGUCUAAAUCAAAUAUACUGUUGCUUCGGCGGAGCGUUCUUUGGGAAAAGGACCGUCGGGCCCCGUAGAAAGGGUCUUUCGAGCCUCCGCCGAGGGUUUUUACCGUAAAUUCUUUACGAACCAUGUCUUCCAAGCUUGAUUUUACAAAUCUAAAAAGCAAAAACUUUCAACAACGGAUCUCUUGGUUCUG